UCGACGAGAGGAAGAAAGCUUGCUUUUCUGAAUCUAGUGGCGCACUGGUGAGUAACACGUAGGUAACCUGCCCAUGUGCCCGGGAUAACUUCUGGAAACGGAUGCUAAAACCGGAUAGGUAGCAGACAAGCAUUUGACUGCUAUUAAAGUGGCCUUGGCCAUGAACAUGGAUGGACCUGCGGUGCAUUAGCUGGUUGGUGAGGUAACGGCCCACCAAGGCGACGAUGCAUAGCCGGCCUGAGAGGGCGGACGGCCACAUUGGGACUGAGACACGGCCCAAACUCCUACGGGAGGCAGCAGUAGGGAAUUUUCGUCAAUGGGGGGAACCCUGAACGAGCAAUGCCGCGUGAGUGAGGAAGGUCUUCGGAUCGUAAAGCUCUGUUGUAAGAGAAAAACGGCACUCAUAGGGAAUGAUGAGUGAGUGAUGGUAUCUUACCAGAAAGUCACGGCUAACUACGUGCCAGCAGCCGCGGUAAUACGUAGGUGGCGAGCGUUAUCCGGAAUGAUUGGGCGUAAAGGGUGCGUAGGUGGCAGAUCAAGUCUGGAGUAAAAGGUAUGGGCUCAACCCGUACUGGCUCUGGAAACUGAUCAGCUAGAGAACAGAAGAGGACGGCGGAACUCCAUGUGUAGCGGUAAAAUGCGUAGAUAUAUGGAAGAACACCGGUGGCGAAGGCGGCCGUCUGGUCUGGAUUCUGACACUGAAGCACGAAAGCGUGGGGAGCAAAUAGGAUUAGAUACCCUAGUA
rnacentral:rRNA from 1 species